AGCAGGGUUCGUAACAAACAUAUCUGCUCUCCUGGGGCUGAGAGUCUAGAGGUAGACAGAAUUUAAAGCAACAUGUAAAUAUAGAAGCACAAACUGAGAGAACACAGAAGUGAGUCUGGAUCACGGAAACUCUGCACAUUUUCCCUCAGCCACUAAUAUUACAUGAAGGCAUCAAGUAAAGGGCUAAUCGUCCCCUGUUGCUAUACUCUGAAUUUACCAAGAAGCAUUUUGUGCAGCCUGAUGGGACUGUUUGAUUUUAAAAACACAAAUCAUGUUAAGUUACUUAUAAUUAAGUUGACAAUAUAUUAAAUCUACCACUUAAUAAAGUUGGGGGAAUUUUAUAUAUCCAAAACGAUGGCAGUGGUGACAAUACAGACCUUCCAGUUUAUCUUCAGAUGAAAGAAUCAGAAGAACCAGAGCAAGUACCACCAUGCAAAACUCUUGCCUUCAGCAAAACGACUUCCAUUAGUAGAAAAUGUGCAAACUUUGCAUCACCUGUACAACUUAAAAAAUGAAAACAAAAUACCUAUGAAUGAUCUCUCACACUCAUGACAGAGUAUUCACAGAGAGUUGGGACAGUUUGGGUAAAAACUGAACAAAAGAGAGAUGAGAUCUAGGAUUGACUCAAAAUUAUCUCCAGAGGGGG